rnacentral:rRNA from 1 species
UACAGAGGUCCCAAGCGUUGUUCGGAUUCACUGGGCGUAAAGGGUGCGUAGGUGGUCGGGUAAGUUUAAGGUGAAAGCUCCGGGCUCAACCCGGAAAUGGCCUUGAAUACUAUCCGGCUCGAGGGUUGGAGGGGGGGACUGGAAUUCUCGGUGUAGCAGUGAAAUGCGUAGAUAUCGAGAGGAACACCAGUGGCGAAGGCGAGUCCCUGGACAACACCUGACACUGAGGCACGAAAGCUAGGGGAGCAAACGGG